rnacentral:rRNA from 1 species
AUGGAUACAGUCAUGUUGAUAGUACCCACUGCCGAUUUUAGCCAAGAGGACUCCAUGGCGUCUAGCAAGGCCAUAAUGGAGCGUCAAACAGCUCGCAGGGCCCCAACCAAUAUGACACAGAUACUGGAAUCUCUAUUUGCCAGUGUCAACCUUGCUAAAGACCUCACUGUAAGGUGUAGAGGAAGAGCGCUGCAACUCACAGAUGAUGAGAUGCAAAGCAUAGCACAUGACCUGGAGAGUGUCAUUCAGAACAUAUGUGAUCAUCUUGGCAGGAUACCAGCAUCAGCACUUGGCAGCAAUGCUAACACUGACGUGGCAAUGAAGUCAAACUCAAGGAGGGGCUACACCGAUGUUGCUAUGUCCAUGAAUGCAGUGACCGACAUGCCCAAUAGGAGGUCUGUCUACGAGAGUGACAUGCCGAGGCUGGUGGACUUUCUGCAGGGAAUGUACCAUGAAUCACAUGAAUUUGGCGGGCAGACGUUUAACUCUCUCCCAGAGGUCACGGAAUAUGUUGAGCCUCUGUAUGAUGGAUUCUUCUGUCCACUGACGAAAGAGGUGAUGACUGAUCCUGUGAUGACAGAGGGCGGUGUGACAUAUGACAGGAGAGCCAUAGAGGAGCAUUUUGAGAGGUAUGCGGACAGUUUGGAACCUGUCUGCUGCCCUGUCACAAAAGCUCCAUUGCAGAGUAAGGCAGUGAUGAGUAAUGCUUCCCUGAAGAGUGUGAUUGCAGAAUGGGGAAUGAGGAAUGAGGCAAUGCGGAUUAGAGUUGCGCGAACUGCGCUCUCUUUGUCGACUACUGAGGCUAUGGUGCUCGAGGCCAUACAUGAGCUGAAAUCGCUGGCCAAGCUGAGGGGGAAGAACAAGGAGCUGAUGCAUAAAAUUGGUGUCACCAAGGUCCUAUCACGUUUGUUGGACAACCACAAUGAACAGAUUCGGCUUGACACAUUGGAGCUUUUGUCCUUGUUAGUUAAGGAUGAAGAAGGAAGGGAAAUCGUUGGAAAAACCAAGGCCAUUGCCAGGACAGUUAAGCUACUGUCAAGUAGUACUAUUGAUGAAAGGCACGCGGCCGUCUCUUUCUUGCUAGAGCUUUCAGAGUCUCAGUUAUUGCUGGAGAAAAUUGGGUCAACUGCUGGAAGUAUUCUGAUUCUCACCACAAUGAAGAUUAAUGAUUCUGAUGAUCCACUUGCUGCUGAGAAAUCUGGAGCAGUCCUCAAGAACCUGGAAAAGUGUCCAAAGAACAUCAAGUACAUGGCCGAAAGUGGCUACCUAGAACCCCUUUGGAGUCAUCUUGUUGAAGGCCCAGAAGAGGUGCAGAUGGAGAUGAUCAGCUACCUAAGCGAGUUGGUCCUAUACCAGGAAGUCACCAUUGAAAUCACCGAGAGCACGUCGGGCGUCCUCAUCAAGAUGGUGCACAGUUGCAACACGGUGGUCCAUAAGGCAGCACUCGAUGUGCUGGUCCAGCUUUCCUCGCACCACCCCAACAGCAAGGUGCUCGUUGAGGCAGGUGCUGUCCUGGUCAUGGUCGAGGAGCUUUUCAUAAGGAAGAUAGAUGACGAACCCGAGAGCUACAAGGCCAAGGCUGCCACCGCCCUAGCCAACAUUGUUGAGUCCGGCAUUGAUCCAGACACCACUGUGGUGAACAAGGAAGGCCACGUCCUCACGUCCAAGUAUUGCAUCUACAACUUUGUGUCCAUGCUCAAGUGCUUCAUACCCGACGACUUCAACCUCAGCAUCAUCCGCCUACUGCUUGCGCUCACCGCAUUCGCCAAGCCCCUGGAUGUCAUGGUCUCAGUGGUCAGAGAGAACCACCGCGGCCAUGCCAUUGUGGAGCUCAUGAGCUCCCCAAUGGAGGCGCUUAGCAUUGCUGCGACGAGGCUGCUCAUUACCCUGUCCGCGCACAUUGGCCACACCAUCGCCGAGAGGCUCUGCAAGACGCAGGGGCAGCCGGGCAGGCUGGUCAAAAGCAUCAGCCACGCCAGGCAAAUCACCGAGCGGCAUGCUGCUUCGGUGACGCUCCUCUCAAGGCUACCGCACCGAAACAUCUCGCUCAACCUUGCGCUGGUGCAGGAGGGCGCCGUGUCGGUUCUGCUGAGCGGGAUAGAAGAGAUGCAGAGCAGCGCAAAGAGAAGGAGCAGGUACGCGGUACAGUACAUGGAGGGUCUGGUGGGCUCGCUGGUGCGGCUCACCGCGACGCUGUACAACCCGACCGUUCUGAAGGAAGCGAUGGACCACAGCUUGGCCUCGGUGCUGACUGAACUCCUCACCGGAGCUGCCGGAAGCGCCGAGGUGCAGCGGCUCGCCGCCGUGGGGCUAGAAAACCUCAGCUACCAGUCCAUCAAGCUGUCGCAGAUGCCGCCGGAGGAGGACCCACGGCCAAAGAAGAAGACAAUGCUGAAGCGCCUAAUGACCACAAGGGCGCACGGCAACAAGACCCUCCAACACCAACAACCCGUCUGCCCGGUGCACCGGGGAGUCUGUUCCACGGUGACGUCCUUCUGCCUCCUCGAGGCCGGCGCCGUCGAGGGCCUCCUUGGCAGCCUCGAGAGCGACAGCCCCCGGGUCGUCGAGGCCGCGCUGGGAGCGCUGUGCACGCUCGUCGACGACCGGGUGGACGUGGAGAGGAGCGUGUCUGCCCUCGCCCAACUGGACGCCCCGCGGCGUGUGCUGGGGGCGCUGAGGCAGCACAGGGAGAACGUGCUGUGGCAGAAGUGCUUCUGCAUGGUGGACAAAUUCCUGGCGCACGGCGACGACCGGUGCGUGAGGGAGGUGACCGGGGACAGGGUGCUGCCGGCGGCGCUAGUGAGUGCCUUCCACAAGGGCGACGCCGGCGCCAAGCAGGCCGCCGAGGGCAUCCUCACGCGGCUGCACAGGAUGCCCGACUACUCGGCGACCUAUAUGUCCGUGGAGAUUUAG